rnacentral:misc_RNA from 1 species
AACCAUAGAAACCUGCGGAGUACCUGCGGAAGGAUCAUUACAGAGUUACUACUCCAAACCCAUUGUGAACCUUACCUAUGUUCUGUUGCCUCGGCGGCGUGGUCAGCGCCCCUCUGAAAAGAGGACGAUGCCCUCCCGCCGGCAGCACCAAACUCUUUGAAUUUUACAGCGGAUUACAGUUCUGAUUUGAAAACAAAAAAACAAGUUAAAACUUUUAACAACGGAUCUCAGAUCGGAAGA